rnacentral:rRNA from 1 species
UACGAAGGGGGCUAGCGUUGCUCGGAAUCACUGGGCGUAAAGCGCACGUAGGCGGAUGUGCCAGUCAGGGGUGAAAUCCCGGAGCUCAACUUCGGAACUGCCUCUGAUACAGCACGUCUUGAGUCCGGAAGAGGUGGGUGGAAUUCCUAGUGUAGAGGUGAAAUUCGUAGAUAUUAGGAAGAACACCGGUGGCGAAGGCGGCCCACUGGUCCGGUACUGACGCUGAGGUGCGAAAGCGUGGGAGCAAACAGG